rnacentral:rRNA from 1 species
AGUGAACGCUGGCGGUAGGCCUAACACAUGCAAGUCGAACGGCAGCACAGUAAGAGCUUGCUCUUACGGGUGGCGAGUGGCGGACGGGUGAGGAAUACAUCGGAAUCUACUUUUUCGUGGGGGAUAACGUAGGGAAACUUACGCUAAUACCGCAUACGACCUACGGGUGAAAGCAGGGGAUCUUCGGACCUUUCGCGAUUGAAUGAGCCGAUGUCGGAUUAGCUAGUUGGCGGGGUAAAGGCCCACCAAGGCGACGAUCCGUAGCUGGUCUGAGAGGAUGAUCAGCCACACUGGAACUGAGACACGGUCCAGACUCCUACGGGAGGCAGCAGUGGGGAAUAUUGGACAAUGGGCGCAAGCCUGAUCCAGCCAUACCGCGUGGGUGAAGAAGGUCUUCGGGUUGUAAAGCCCUUUUGUUGGGAAAGAAAAGCAGCAGGUUAAUACCCCGCUGUUCUGACGGUACCCAAAGAAUAAGCACCGGCUAACUACGUG